rnacentral:rRNA from 1 species
CUGCCCAAUGACAACAUAGUUCAAUGGCCGCGGUACCCUGACCGUGCAAAGGUAGCAUAAUCACUUGCCCCUUAAUUAGGGGCUGGCAUGAAAGGACACACGAAAGCUUCCCUGUCUCACAAUAACAAAUAAAAAUUAAUCUUCAAGUGAAAAAGCUUGAAUCAAACUGCAGGACAAGAAGACCCCGUUGAGCUUUAUUCUCUAUAGACUAAAUUAAAUAUUAAAUAUAUCAUAAACCUAAAAAGAAUUUAGUUGGGGUGACUAAGGAACACCAAAAACUUCCUUUUAUUAAUUAGGAUCAUUCUCCAUACAAAUUGACCCAUUACACAUGAUCAAAAAAAUAAGCUACCACAGGGAUAACAGGCUAAUCUUUCUCAAGAGCCCAAAUUGUCAGAAAGGAUUGGCACCUCGAUGUUGGCUUAGGGGCCCCUAAUGGUGCAGAAGCCAUAAAUGGUAGGCCGGUUCAACCUGUAAAACC